AUGGCCGUAUCACUUUGAAACACAGGUUCCUGUACGAUCACCGAAGUUAAGCAACGUUGAGCCUGGUCAGUAAUUAGAAGAGUAACCGCUUGUGAACCGCAAGUGCU